rnacentral:rRNA from 1 species
AAACUUAAAGGAAUUGGCGGGGGAGCACCACAACAGGUGGAGCCUGCGGUUUAAUUGGAUUCAACGCCGGACAUCUCACCGGAUAAGACAGCUGAAUGAUCGUCAAUCUGAAGGUUUUACAUGACUAGCUGAGAGGAGGCGCAUGGCCGUCGUCAGUUCGUACUGUGAAGCAUCCUGUUAAGUCAGGCAACGAGCGAGACCCACGCCGACAAUUGCCAGCAGCAUCUCCGGAUGGCUGGGGACAUUGUCGGGACCGCCUCUGCUAAAGGGGAGGAAGGAAUGGGCAACGGUAGGUCAGCAUGCCCCGAAUUAUCCGGGCUACAYGCGGGCUACAAUGGACGGGACAAUGGGUAACAACACCGAAAGGUGCAGUCAAUCUCCGAACCCCGCCCUUAGUUAGGAUUGCGGGUUGCAACUCACCCGCAUGAAUCUGAAUCUGUAGUAAUCGCGUUUCACUAUAGCNNNGUGAAUACGUCCCUGCUCCUUGCACACACCGCCCGU